rnacentral:rRNA from 1 species
CCUACGGGAGGCAGCAGUGGGGAAUUUUGGACAAUGGGGGCAACCCUGAUCCAGCCAUUCCGCGUGAGUGAAGAAGGCCUUCGGGUUGUAAAGCUCUUUCGCAAGGGAAGAAAACUUAUGAUCGGAUAAAUCAUGAGGUUGACGGUACCUUGAUAAGAAGCACCGGCUAACUACGUGCCAGCAGCCGCGGUAAUACGUAAGGUGCGAGCGUUAAUCGGAAUUACUGGGCGUAAAGCGUGCGCAGGCGGUUUUGUAAGUCGGAUGUGAAAUCCCCGGGCUCAACCUGGGAACUGCGUUCGAAACUGCAAGGCUAGAGUGUGUCAGAGGGGGGUAGAAUUCCACGUGUAGCAGUGAAAUGCGUAGAGAUGUGGAGGAAUACCAAUGGCGAAGGCAGCCCCCUGGGAUAACACUGACGCUCAUGCACGAAAGCGUGGGGAGCAAACAGGAUUAGAUACCCUGGUAGUCCACGCCCUAAACGAUGUCAACUAGUUGUUGGUAGAGUAAAAUCUAUGAGUAACGUAGCUAACGCGUGAAGUUGACCGCCUGGGGAGUACGGUCGCAAGNUUAAAACUCAAAGGAAUUGACGGNUGAGACGNGCGAGACGACGACGAGGAGAGG